CUUCUUAAAGCUCUAGCCAGUGGGAAAGCGUUUGUGUUUCUAUCCUUGGAGCUCCAAGUGGGACUUCUUAAAAGAUUUAGAAGGAGCAAAGCUGUCAGGAAAUCAGAAACGUCACAUGGACUCCAUGACUGGGAAAAACCUCGUGGUGGCCUGCUCUCAGUGCUUGGAUGUGUGCUAGUUACAUCUCGGAGGUCUGAUUUUCUUAACUCGACUACGGUAAGAAGAUGCCCUCCAUCAGCAGGCCGUGUCUGCUGGCGCCUCUCUGGAGACUUCCUGAACCCUGUGGAUUUACAGUAAGAUGCAGUUUCCUGGGGAGUAAUUCUGGUGGAUACAAAUUCCGGAGUAUUACACCUGGCUUGCCUGGAGAUGUUACAAGUAACUGGAUGGAUUGAUUCUUCAGCCUGGAUGCCCACUGAAAACAAGGACCGAAACUGAGAGGAUUGUAUCUCUACCCUUGACUCAAUGAGAAUGUUUGUUGUCAUCUCUCGGGCUACCUGGAGCUCCCUCUAAAAUUAUACCCUUUAAGCGUUCCAGAAGGAUUUUGAGAUCCUUUCCUAAAUCAAAGGUGGAAUAUUUGGGGAUUUGGAAAAUUGAGAUGAGAAGCAUUGACUUAAGAGAUGCCAAGUAACUCAGCAGAUGUCACACAGACGAUAAAUAGCAAAGAUGGAAGUCUUCAUGCCGGAGGUAAUCCUAUAAGACAGCUGAGUUCUGCAGAGCUGGUAGGAGACAGACUUGCUCAGGUGAUAGAUCCAGCCAUGAUACUGACCCUAAGAGAAUGAGACACUCUGCAGAAGACAGAAGAUUCCUGAAACUGGGAAAGGUGCCUAGAAAUCCUAAGAAGAGUGAAGAAGUGGCAGAGCAGCCUUCCUCCGCACUAUGAAAGACAUCCAACAGAGAGCAAGUUCCCACUUUACUUCCAGCUUGACUCCUCUUUAUCUCCUAACUGCGGUCUGUGAUGUCUUCAGCAAUGGUAUUAACUAGUUCUGGGUACCUGGAGGCACAACAGCCAUGUUGAACCUAUGAGGUGAUGAAAAACCAUGCAACUAGAAACC
rnacentral:lncRNA from 1 species